AUGCAGCCCGGGUCCUGUGGGGCCGGAGAAAUUCUGGGCCAUAACGUUGUAGCUGGUGCCGGGGCCAGCUCACUGUUUGGUUUAGAGCUAGGACCCCUACACCGCUGCCCGGGCCCGUACGUCAGGCCUAGUGAAGCCCGGAGAGAGUCUCUGGGGCAGGUGAUUUCCAGAGUCUCCGGGUUCCCAAGGGUGCCCACUUGGGAGCAAGCCCAGGAAGUAAAUCCCGCUCCGGGGCUCUGGAAGCUCCAUGCGUCCGGGUCUUGGCGCCGCCCCGCCCGUAAGCUCCCGAGCCUCUUUCGCUGCAGGGAGGGGCACCCGGGACCUGGCGGGGACUGCGGCCGACAGCAGACUGGUGCGGGCAACGCGCAGCAUCCUCUAGCUUCUCCGGCCCCGCCGCCCAGGGGCAUCUCCUCCGCCCCGGGGAGGCAGGGGGCGGGGACCCAGAGCCCGCCCUGUAAUUCCUGCCCCGCCCGCGGGAGAGGAGGGGCUGCGGCUUGGCGGACCACUGAAGGCGCAGGAGCCGCUGCUGCUGUCUGGGGUGACCGAGACUUGGGUGCAGGCGGCUCUCCCAUCCAGCCCGGCCCGAACCUCUCUGGCUCCCGCUGCCUCCUGCUACACGGCUCGGCUCGGGGUGGCUCUUCUUUCCCUGCAGAUGAAGAAAUGGAGGAUUGAAGAGAUUGACCUACACUCAUUUGCAGGAUCUCCUAUCAUAAAGUUUUGGAACUCAAAGACCUGCUUGGAGGUGUGAUUAAUGUACCCUGCACACGAUGGACA
rnacentral:lncRNA from 1 species